rnacentral:lncRNA from 1 species
AUGAGACGGGUUGAGGUGGAGGGAGGGGAGGAAGGGGAGAGGCAGAUAGUUGCCCUUAGUUUCUGGAGAAUGUCCCUACCCAGUAGAGGGACCGGGCAGGAAGGAAUCAUAGGAACGAGUGGGGGAAGGGGAACCCAUCCAGGCUACAGGAGUGGGGAGGGGGAGAAGGAGGGGUAGACGAGGUUCAGAAAUCCUGAACUUAAGGGACCUUGGGGUAAGGGAUCGCGGUAAGGAGGAGGAGGAGGAACCAGGGGCCCUCUUGUCAAUGGGUGGGUGAAGCUCUCCGGGGAUUCAGAGAGAGGAGACAGGGAGGAGAGGUCUGAGUCUUUGGGAGCAGUGGGUGGCAGGGUAGGGGGAGGGGAGCGGGCCAAGAGGACCUGUGAGGUGGAGCAGUGAGAGCAGAGGAAGGGGCGAGAGCGCAGAGUCCAGAAAGCCUGGACAUAAGGGACCUUGGCCCAUCUGCCUUGGUGUCUGCUGAGGUUAUUUAGGUCCAUGGAAAUCUGAUAAUUAAACGUGCCUUCCAGAGGCCAUUGGGACUGAUUGUCUAAUCGGUAUUGUGGCCAAGUGACAAUACAGUAAUGUCGUUUUCACAGGUCCUGGUCCAGUUCCAGGGUUUUAAGAUUGGCCAACAGGCCUAAAACACCCCCGGGAUGUUCUAGGGUUGAAUUUGGAUUGGGAGGUCCCCAUGAUUCGUUGCCGGGCAACCCAAGGGCUGGAGGAAGGCGUCCCCUCAUCCACCACUGGGUUGUGGAAAAACUGUGUUGACUGCCGUUGAGGUUAGGACGUCUCCCAGCCUCUCGGAGUCACGGAGGUCACCUGGUGACCGGUGGGGCCCACCCUGAUGCGGCCGCGAUUAGGGCAGGGCUUUCUGGAAGGAGGCGCGGAAUCGGGGAAACUCACCACAGCUUUGGAAGUGGCAUUCGGAAAGGCAGGUCCGGUCCAGCCUGGGAAAGGAGAGAGCCUCCCUACUGUGUGGGGGCUCAAUCUCCUUCCCGGGUUUCGGCACCAAAUGUAAAGUUUUUUCCGGGGAGAUAAACACAACACCAGGCAAAGUGGGUGCAAGGCAAGAUUUAUUAAAAACACUCUCCGGUGAAGUUUCAGGGCUCAGGAGAAGGGGAGCCAGGAAAGUUGCGCCGGGAGGAGGUGGGCACCCUCCGACGAG